UAAAAAUUAGUUAAUAAGAUAUAAUAUAAGUUUGUCAGACUUAAGUAAUUGAAUAAAUAUUUUUAU
rnacentral:tRNA from 1 species